UAUCGAUCGAUUGUUAGGUAUAUUUUCGAUCGCCAUUGUAUAGUAAUACCAUGGCCUACUUUUACACCAUGGCCAUAGAAUCGCGACGUAGAAGAAGAGAAUCAAUUACAUUGUUUAAUGGCGUAGGUUUUCGUAGUUUUCGACGCGAUGUGAUUGUAGUUUUCGACGCGAUGUGAUUGUGUGUUAAUUGGUGGAGAAACAUUGUCGUAAUCGGAUAUCGGAACGGAUUUCCAUAAUGUACACGUGUUGUAUCCGACCAGCACAAAAUUGAAUCAUUUUUUUUCAUUUAUCACAAAUUGGUUAUCAGCAGCAUUUCCACUCUAUAGCAGCAGAAGCCAAGCUGUUCAGUCAACGGAAGACCAUUGUAAUUGCAGUUAAUGAGAUACAACAACUUUGUUGCCAAUAACAAGAUGCUGCAUUUAUUUUUGUCCACAGCCAAAAUAAAAUGCAACUUCUUUCACAGGAGUAACACAUUGUGUGGUUUAAGUUGUUAGCUACCAUAGUCUCCUGAUAGUUUGAGUCUGACAAUAAGCAAUACCAUAUUGUUAUUUGUUUCUUCCCUUUGCAGAGAUGUUAGCUUGUUGUGAUUUUAGACCACGGUAUAGACUGAGCCUUUGUAUCUGUGUCAAACCAGUUACAUCAACUCACUUGUUGUUGACACCCCUGGAGAUAUUACCAAACUUUUGAAAUGGUUGAAGCAGGCACCCAUAAUAUGUCGAUUCAAUUUUAGUGCUAUCACUGUAAGGAUGGUAACCUGUUAUUAAGUUACACCACCUGUUUCAUUUGGCCAUAGGAUAGAUAGACCAAAAGAGUGAUACUCUUUAAUGUUUGCAGUGUGUUUGUCACUUUCAAUGAAUCCAUAUCUUCUCGUGAAUUGAUGGACUGAAUAAUGUCAGAUUGCCAAAAAAACAAACACUGGAACCCUUCUGCAUGACUUUGAACCACAAGAUAUUGAUAUUUUUUACAUUCGCCUUUUGGGUUGAACGGUAAAGAGUUUCACGGUUCACUGUUUUAUCCGAAAAUCGUAUAUCCACGAAAUGUUGGCAUCGUUGGUCUAUGAACAGAUAUGCUGAUGACUGAAAUCAAUUGGAUCAGCUGAAAACAUAUGUUGAGACAUCUAUGCAACUUUGUAUUUGGAUAUGUGUCAUUCCACUGAUAGUGGCUAAAGAAUCAAACUUGGAAUCGCGUGUCUUCAACCAACUCACCUCAUCUAGGCCUGACCAGUAUCGGCCCGAAGAAAGUAGUCAUCUAGUCACACGUAAGAUAACAAAUCCUGCUAAGUAAACCAUAUGAUAAGGAAGUGAACAUUAAUCAUUCGAACGUGAGUCUAAUGGUCUAAUGAAAAAUAAGGAUACAUUUGGUUACCGACUUGACCUGCACGAGGAUUUUAGCCAUAUCGGAUAUCGGAAAGGAACACCUUUACCGAACAUAAUGUUCUUCUAACGUAAAUUAUUGGAUGUUCAUUCUAUGUCGGAUUUAGAUUUCAUUUAGAAAUCCUGGCAGAAGCUUUUCAUUUAUAAGACUGUAGAAGGAUUGCACACACUCAUGUUUUAAAGUAAGUUCCAUAAGUUAAAAUGCUUUGUGCUGAUUUGUUUUUGUUUUUAGGUUAAUAAACGUAAUAAAUGGAAAAUGGGGUUUCAGAAUGAGGCGGGAGUUUUUGUCAAUGCUGAAGUUUGAAAACACGAUCGGAAAUACCAAUGAAAUGAAAAACAUUCUCUCACGUUAUGGUAUUUGUCGUACAUAAAUUGAAGUGCAUAUCUGGGCUCCCUUCUUUUCUGUGGCUCCGUUUCCCCUUGACUCGUAAUAAGCCCGUAGGGGGUCACGCCCCUACUGUACGGUAUA
rnacentral:lncRNA from 1 species